rnacentral:rRNA from 1 species
CGGACCGGCGCACGGGUGAGUAACGCGUAUGCAACUUACCUAUCAGAGGGGGAUAACCCGGCGAAAGUCGGACUAAUACCGCAUGAAGCAGGGGCCCCGCAUGGGGAUAUUUGUUAAAGAUUCAUCGCUGAUAGAUAGGCAUGCGUUCCAUUAGGCAGUUGGCGGGGUAACGGCCCACCAAACCGACGAUGGAUAGGGGUCUGAGAGGAAGGUCCCCCACAUUGGAACUGAGACACGGUCCAA